GAUGAACGCUAGCGAUAGGCCUUACACAUGCAAGUCGAGGGGCAGCACGAAGAAAGUAGCAAUACCUUCUUGGUGGCGACCGGCACACGGGUGAGUAACGCGUAUGCAACCUGCCUACUACUUUGGGAUAGCUCGUUGAAAGACGAAUUAAUACCUUAUGAAACAGGGGCUCCGCAUGGGGAUAUUUGUUAAAGAUUUAUUGGUAGUAGAUGGGCAUGCGUUCCAUUAGUUAGUUGGUGAGGUAACUGCUCACCAAGACGACGAUGGAUAGGGGAACUGAGAGGUUUGUCCCCCACACUGGAACUGAGACACGGUCCAGAUUCCUACGGGAGGCAGCAGUGAGGAAUAUUGGUCAAUGGAGGCAACUCUGAACCAGCCAAGUCGCGUGAAGGAUGACGGCCCUACGGGUU
rnacentral:rRNA from 1 species